AUUGAACGCUGGCGGCGUGCUUAACACAUGCAAGUCGAGCGGUAACAGGCGUAGCAAUACGUGCUGACGAGCGGCGAACGGGUGAGUAAUGCUUCGGAAUCUACCUCGUAGUGGGGAAUAACUAACCGAAAGGUUAGCUAAUGCCGCAUACGACCUUAGGGUGAAAGCGGGGGAUCGCAAGACCUCGCGCUAUGAGAUGAGCCGAAGUCGGAUUAGCUAGUUGGUGAGGUAACGGCUCACCAAGGCGACAAUCCGUAGCUGGUCUGAGAG
rnacentral:rRNA from 1 species